GUGUCAGCCGCCGCGGUAAUACCAGCACCCCGAGUGGUCGGGAUGAUUAUUGGGCCUAAAGCAUCCGUAGCCGGUGUAACAAGUCCUCCGUUAAAUCCACCUGCUUAACAGGUGGGCUGCGGAGGAUACUGUUACACUAGGAGGCGGGAGAGGCGAGGGGUAUUCCACGGGUAGGGGUAAAAUCCUCUGAUCCGUGGAGGACCACCAGUGGCGAAGGCGCCUCGCCAGAACGCGCUCGACGGUGAGGGAUGAAAGCUGGGGGAGCAAACCGGAUUAGAUACCCGGGUAGUCCCAGCCGUAAACGAUGUAGGCUCGGUGAUGGACUGGCUCCGAGCCAGUCCAGUGCCGCAGGGAAGCCGUUAAGCCUACCGCCUGGGGAGUACGGCCGCAAGGUUAAAACUUAAAUGAAUUGGCGGGG
rnacentral:rRNA from 1 species